rnacentral:pre_miRNA from 1 species
AUUAAAUGUUUUUCUACGUGUUUUAAAAAGAUGUAUAUAAUCACUUGAUUUAU